AUUGAACGCUGGCGGCAUGCUUUACACAUGCAAGUCGAACGGUAACAGGCCUUCGGGUGCUGACGAGUGGCGCACGGGUGAGUAAUGCAUCGGAACGUACCCAGAGGUGGGGGAUAACGCAGCGAAAGCUGUGCUAAUACCGCAUGUGAUCUGAGGAUGAAAGCGGGGGACCGAGCAGCAAUGUUUGGCCUCGCGCCUUUGGAGCGGCCGAUGUCGGAUUAGCUAGUUGGUGGGGUAAAGGCCUACCAAGGCGACGAUCCGUAGCUGGUCUGAGAGGACGACCAGCCACACUGGGAAUGAGACACGGCCCAGACUCCUACGGGAGGCAGCAGUGGGGAAUUUUGGACAAUGGGCGCAAGCCUGAUCCAGCAAUGCCGCGUGCGGGAAGAAGGCCUUCGGGUUGUAAACCGCUUUUGGCAGGAACGAAACGGUGUCCGCUAAUACCGGGCGCUAAUGACGGUACCUGCAGAAUAAGCACCGGCUAACUACGUG
rnacentral:rRNA from 1 species